UCCGCUUUGACAUUUGCACUA
rnacentral:snRNA from 1 species